rnacentral:rRNA from 1 species
GCAAGACUAUUUCGCGGGGAAUCCUACAUAUCCUCCGCACCUCUUCCGGAGAAGGUACCGAAUGCGCCGAUCCUCUUUGUGAAAAUUGUUGAAGCUUGCGAGGCAAAUUGCCGUUAUUUUACUCAAAGAAGGAAUGUCGCGGGCUUAAAGGGAUUUAGUGCAUAUCAAAAAAUCUCCGCAGCUAUGCGGGUGAUUGCAUAUGGCGUUCCGGCUGACUAUGCCGAUGAGUAUCUUCGCAUUGGUGAAGAUAGCACAAUUGAGUCUGUGCGUAGAUUUGCGAAAGUGAUCAUCUGUGUCUUCGGUCCUGAGUAUCUUCGGGCACCCAAUGAAGAUGACACAAAGAAAUUGAUGGCAUCUAAUCAGAGGAGAGGUUGGCCUGGCAUGCUAGGUAGCAUUGAUUGUAUGCAUUGGAAUUGG